CCUACGGGAGGCUGCAGUGAGGAAUAUUGGUCAAUGGACGAGAGUCUGAACCAGCCAAGUAGCGUGAAGGAUGACUGCCCUAUGGGUUGUAAACUUCUUUUAUAUAGGAAUAAAACGUUGCACGUGUGCCUUUUUGUAUGUACUUUAUGAAUAAGGAUCGGCUAACUCCGUGCCAGCAGCCGCGGUAAUACGGAGGAUCCGAGCGUUAUCCGGAUUUAUUGGGUUUAAAGGGAGCGUAGGUGGGUUGUUAAGUCAGUUGUGAAAGUUUGCGGCUCAACCGUAAAAUUGCAAUUGAUACUGGCAGUCUUGAGUACAGUUGAGGUAGGCGGAAUUCGUGGUGUAGCGGUGAAAUGCUUAGAUAUCACGAAGAACCCCGAUUGCGAAGGCAGCUUACUAAACUGUGACUGACACUGAUGCUCGAAAGUGUGGGUAUCAAACAGGAUUAGAUACCCGAGUAGUC
rnacentral:rRNA from 1 species